AGAGUGUUGAUGCCUGGCUCAGAUGUGAACGCUGGCGGUAUGCUUAACACAUGCAAGUCGAACGGUAACAGGGUCUAGCUUGCUAGACCGCUGACGAGUGGCGGACGGGUGAGGAACGCGUAGGGAUCUGUCUAAGAGAUUGGGACAACACGGGGAAACUCGUGCUAAUACCGAAUACGCUCUACGGAGGAAAGGCUGGAGUAAUCCAGUCGCUCAUAGGUGAACCUGCGUAGGAUUAGCUAGUUGGUAGGGUAAGAGCCUACCAAGGCAUCGAUCCAUAGCUGUUCUGAGAGGAAGAUCAGCCACACUGGGACUGAGACACGGCCCAGACUCCUACGGGAGGCAGCAGUGGGGAAUAUUGGACAAUGGGCGCAAGCCUGAUCCAGCAAUACCGCGUGUGUGCAGAAGGCCUGAGGGUAGUAUAGCACUUUCGUCGCAGGACGAAGUGUGUGUAGUCAAUAGCUGCAUGCAUUGACGUCACUCGAAUAUCGAAGCACCGGCUAUCUCUGUGCCAGCAGCCGCGGUAUUACAGAGGGUGCAAGCGUUAAUCGGACUGACUGGGCGUAGAGCGAGCGUAUGUCGAUAUCUAAGUCUGAUGUGAGCGCACUCGGCUUAACCUACGGAAUUGCAUCGUGAUACUGGCGGUAUCUAGAAGNACUGGAUUACACGGAAUGCGCUGGAAAUUUAUCCCGGGUUGUUACCCAGGGUUGAAACAUUGCCCGUUAUCAAAUUCUCACGGG
rnacentral:rRNA from 1 species